rnacentral:ncRNA from 2 species
GUCAAGCACUCUGGAGAGAGCGGUUGAAUCCGCCGCCGAAGGGGCACGAGGUGCGCUCAUUGCGCCUCCAAACUCUCAGGCAAAAGGACAGAGGGGCGCCC